UGGGGAAUAUUGGACAAUGGGGGAAACCCUGAUCCAGCCAUGCCGCGUGAGUGAUGAAGGCCUUAGGGUUGUAAAGCUCUUUUACCAGGGAUGAUAAUGACAGUACCUGGAGAAUAAGCCCCGGCUAACUCCGUGCCAGCAGCCGCGGUAAUACGGAGGGGGCUAGCGUUGUUCGGAAUUAUUGGGCGUAAAGAGCGUGUAGGCGGCUUGGUAAGUCUGCUGUGAAACCUUGGGGCUCAACCCCAAGCGUGCAGUGGAUACUGUCAAGCUAGAGGUUGGUAGAGGCCAGUGGAAUUCCCAGUGUAGCGGUGAAAUGCGCAGAUAUUGGGAGGAACACCAGUAGCGAAGGCGGCUGGCUGGGCCAUUCCUGACGCUGAGACGCGAAAGCAUGGGGAGCGAACAGGAUUAGAUACCCCCGUAGUCC
rnacentral:rRNA from 1 species